rnacentral:rRNA from 1 species
GACGAACGCUGGCGGCGUGCUUAACACAUGCAAGUCGAACGAAGUGGCAAACGGGUGAGUAACACGUAAACAACCUGCCUUCAGGAUGGGGACAACAGACGGAAACGACUGCUAAUACCGAAUACCUGAAGAGGGGUUUGCGUCUGAUUAGGCAGUUGGUGAGGUAACGGCCCACCAAACCUACGAUCAGUAGCCGGUCUGAGAGGAUGAACGGCCACACUGGAACUGAGACACGGUCCAGACUCCUACGGGAGGCAGCAGUGGGGAAUCUUCCGCAAUGGGCGCAAGCCUGAUGCAGCCAUGCCGCGUGUAUGAAGAAGGCCUUCGGGUUGUAAAGUACUUUCAGCGGGGAGGCGUUACCCGCAGAAGAAGCACCGGCUAACUCCGUGCCAGCAGCCGCGGUAAUACGGAGGGUGCAAGCGUUAAUCGGAAUUACUGGGCGUAAAGCGCACGCAGGCGGUUUGUUAAGUCAGAUGUGAAAUCCCCGGGCUCAACCUGGGAACUGCAUUGAUACUGGCAAGCUUGAGUCUCGUAGAGGGGGGUAGAAUUCC